rnacentral:SRP_RNA from 1 species
UCGUGCUAGGCGGGGAGCUAGCGGUGCCCUGUACCCGAAAUCCGCUAAAGCGGGGCUGAAUUCCCAUCCGAGGUCUUAGCCUGCUGGGGACCGGCCUCGGUUGGUGGCGUUGAAGGCUGGGCCCUGUGCAGCAGAGGGCUAUGAACCCCGUCAGGUCCGGAAGGAAGCAGCGGUAAGUAGCCGACUCUGGGUGCCGCAGGGGUUCCUGGCUGGAGUCACCCUCCGAGGAGAAGGCCGGGAGGUAGAUCGAAGACGGGUGCACGA